rnacentral:lncRNA from 1 species
AGUCAGAGACACAAAACCUUCAUAGCACACUGUCCUCAAUUACUAAGUACGGGAGCUAUUUUUACCAGUUUAAGGGCAGCCUAGGAGGUAAAGAGGAAAGAAUAAAACAGUAAAAUACAAUAGAGAAAAAAAGAGGUGGGUAAUUGAAAGGGACAAAAAAAUUGUAAGUAUUAAAGAGACUGAAAAGUAUUGGAUACAGCGUCUGGGGGUGUAGUGUUCGUGGAUGGACAGGUGGAUGGACUGGGGUGACAAAACCAGACUGUCUUAUGCUGAAGAAUGAAUAGAGUAAGAAAGAAAAGAAUAUCUUUGUUCUUUCAGCAAAUUUGCCUCAACAUAAAAAGAAAAGACUUGGAGAUGGAUUUAGAACUUUUAAUAUGAAUGAUUGUUAGAUUUUUGUCAAAGGCCUUUCUCCAUUUGAUGAGAUGAUCAUGUGGUUUCUGUCUUUUAGUCUGUUUAUAUGGUGGAUUAUGUUUACAGAUGUAUUAUGUUGAGCCAUCCCUGAUUCCCUUAGGUGAAGCCAGUUUGAUCAUAAUAUGUAAUAUUUUUCAUAUGUUCUUAAAUUUGGUUUGCAAGUAUUUUAUUGAGAAUUUUACAUCUAUGUAUGUUCCUCAAAGAUUAGCCUAUAAUUUUCAUUUUUGUUAGAUUUUUGUCUGGUUCUAUAAAUUGUGCAGAAGCAAAGUGUGUAAUAACAAUAACACAAAGAACAUGAAGGAGAAAAAUGACAACAUGACUGCAGAGGCUUAUUCCCAUCAAAAGCUCUGAAAUAUUGUUAUUUGAAAAUGUAUUAUGACUUGGUGAGCAGGGAGAUCACCAAGCUAUGGCAUGAGGGCCAAAUCCAGGCCAAUGCCUACUCUGGUACAUAUGAUUUUAUUGAUAUCAUUGUAAAUGCAUUUAACAUUAUUAAGCUGUGUGUAUACAAUGUUAAAGUAGCAAACUUUAUGUUAUAUACAUUACCAUAAUAAUAAAAUAUAAGCCAUAGCCCUCUUGGAAUAAAUAAGUCAAAGGCGUUCCCCUACUAUUACUUAUCAUAGCAAAAGCAAACAGGGAGCCUGACAUGGAGGUGCAUACUGGGAAUGCCAAUACUCAGGGAGACGAGGCUACAAGAUCAUAAAUUCAAAUUCAUCCUUGGCUACACAGUGAGUUCAAGGCAGUUUGGGCUACAUAGGACCCUGUCUAAAAAACAACAGGAGCAACAACAAAAGGGGGUGGGAGGGUAAAAGAGAGAAAGAUAGAAAAUGAAUAUUUCCAUUAAAGUAAUGAAAUAAAGUUAUAAUGUAAACAC